rnacentral:rRNA from 1 species
ACACGUGGGUGACCUGCCUUCGAGUGGGGGAUAACGUUCCGAAAGGGACGCUAAUACCGCAUAACAUCCUGUCUUUUAAGAGAUGGACAUCAAAGCCUGGGACCGCAAGGCCAGGCGCUUGAAGAGGGGCCCGCGCCUGAUUAGCUAGUUGGUGGGGUAAUGGCUCACCAAGGCGACGAUCAGUAUCCGGCCUGAGAGGGCGGACGGACACACUGGGACUGAGACACGGCCCAGACUCCUACGGGAGGCAGCAGUGGGGAAUUGUUCGCAAUGGGCGCAAGCCUGACGACGCAACGCCGCGUGGAGGAUGAAGAUCUUCGGGUCGUAAACUCCUUUCGAUCGAGACGAAUGGCCUUUGGGUUAACAGCCUGGAGGAAUGACGGUACCGAGAGAAGAAGCCCCGGCUAACUCCGUGCCAGCAGCCGCGGUAAUACGGGGGGGGCAAGCGUUGUUCGGAAUUACUGGGCGUAAAGGGCUCGUAGGUGGCCAACUAAGUCAACCGUGAAAUCCCUCGGCUUACCGGGGAACUGCGUUUGAUACUGGAUGGCUUGAGUUUGGGAGAGGGAUGCGGAAUUCCAGGUGUAGCGGUGAAAUGCGUAGAUAUCUGGAGGAACACCGGUGGCGAAGGCGGCAUCCUGGACCAAUACUGACACUGAGGA